rnacentral:misc_RNA from 1 species
GAUGAAGAACGCAGCGAAAUGCGAUAAGUAGUGUGAAUUGCAGAAUUCAGUGAAUCAUCGAAUCUUUGAACGCACAUUGCGCCCCUUGGUAUUCCAUGGGGCAUGCCUGUUCGAGCGUCAUCUACACCCUCAAGCUCUGCUUGGUGUUGGGCGUCUGUCCCGCCUUUGCGCGUGGACUCGCCCCAAAUUCAUUGGCAGCGGUCCUUGCCUCCUCUCGCGCAGCACAUUUGCGCUUCUCGAGGUGCGCGGGCCGCGUCCACGAGGCAACUAUUACCGUCUUUGACCUCGGAUCAGGUAGGGAUACCCGCUGAACUUAAGCAUAUCAAUAAGCGGAGGA